CUGAGAUCUUGUGCUGGAUGCACACACCCUGCUUUUGCUGUGCGGUUGUAUGUUUUUUGAGAAAACCAACCUACAAUUUUGCCUGUGUUAGCUUUGUAGAGCCAUGAAAUUGGGCCAAGCUAUAAAUAACACCCAUUUGUGGGGAGUGAUUGAUGAGAAGUUUGGUUCCUUGCUGGUUAUUCCUUGGACAGUGUUAAAUUGCUGCUGCUAGGACAGAUGAUGGAGACCAGUCUUGGACAAAAGAACAUCAGUGAACCUAUACGAACAUGGUGAUGUCAGUGGGUGAUGUACAACAAUUAUGGAAGAUUACUCACAGACAAGAACAUCCUUCACCAGGAGAAGCUCUUUUCAUGGGGGACUUGGAUUGUCAUUAUUUGGGAUGGCUCUGCAUACUCCCCCCCCCCCCUCCGUG